UGCCAUGAUGGCUGCGACGAAUGCCGUGUCUGCCUUCAAGCAGGGCGCGGUGAAGACCAUGCGCAGCAAGCCAUCGGACGUGGCGUCGCUUGUGGCGACUGGUAGGCGGCAUCCCCACCUUCUAGAGCUGAUGGGCGUGCUCAGUCUACAGCCUGACCUCGUUGCGUUCAGCGAGCGCGCCGCCACGUACCAUGGUGAAACGCCCAG
rnacentral:misc_RNA from 1 species